rnacentral:lncRNA from 1 species
CAGGCAAAAUGUAACGAUGAAAGUGCUGCUCUUGUAAAAAUCGACGAUGCACUUGAAAAUUCAUUCAUAUUUUCCUCUGGAGGUAUAUAUAUAAUUAUCUUACGCUCCUUUACAAUUAAUAAUCAAUUGCAAUUAUUAUAAUAAAAUAUUUGUGUUGUUCAGUUUUUUGUUUUUUUAUGUAGUGGUUAGUAUCCUGUUACGUGUCUUUUCGUCAUUUUACAUUUUUCGUUCUGUAUCUAUGAGUCACUUUUAAAAGUUUUGUUUCUUUCUUCGAUGUCUUGCCCCUCUUUUUGCAAAUAUUGUUAUUUUUGAAAUAAUUCUUUACUUUCGUGUCACAUGUAAGUAUUAAAUAUGUAAUAUCUUGAUAAAGAGCGUUACUAAGAAAGAAGGAAUUGUGUCAUGUUAUAGUUAAGGUUUUGAUAGAUUGUUUCGGUGAUUUUUUUUUUGUUUGUUCCUUAUCAUAUUACAGAUCCAUCUAUUUAAGGUUGUACCUAACACUACAGGGAGAUAACUCUGUACAAUCAACUAAACAUUUUAAUUAAGUUGCGUUGUUAAGGGAAUAUUAAGCUUCUCAAUGAUCAAAAUUAGUGUUUGUCAAACUGCUAUAUAACUAGAGUAAUUUUUCUGAUAAAAUGGUUGGUUUAAAUGUUAAUUUUUUUUAUAUUUUUGUCAAAGGGUCAAAGUUAAUCCUUUGUCAAAAUUUAACGAAAAUUAAACAAACCAAAUUAAUUUUAGUGAAGGUGUUGGGUACCACCUUAACAAACAUCAAACUGCUUCGGUUCAAUCCAACUUAUUAUAGCAAAAACGACAAUUAAACAAAUAAAUUCAAUAAACAAACUUUGUUACAUCAUUUUAACCUGACGCUUUUUUCUGACGUUUACAUGUAUUUUUCGAUCCUCGAUCUAUCACUGCUUUACUUAGAUUUAAACUAAUUGAUUUCAUUUAAUAAAUACAAAAAGAAUAUAAUUACUAUCCUAAUUCUAAGAGUAAAACUUAAUUUAAUGCUAGCAUAUCAAAACGUUAAACAUUGCUAUAUUUUAUUCAUUUAUUGCUGUUAUAUAGGUUUGCCUAAUACAUAUGUGCCUGGGGAAGGUAAGUAAACUUCAUUUAUUUUAGAUGUAAAUUACUCAAUUUGCCAUCUAUAUGAUAUGUGUUUAUAUUGAACACAUCGUACAUUUCAUAGCAUGAUUUAUCACCGGAUGUAAGGGAGUGAUACUUGGCUUGUUGAAAUAAAGAAAGCUUCUCUUUACUUCUCAAACAUUGUAUAUUUUUUCAGUCGUUCAACUAUAAACAUUUUAUGAUU